rnacentral:rRNA from 1 species
UAUCCUACGGGGGGCAGCAGUAGGGAAUCUUCGGCAAUGGACGAAAGUCUGACCGAGCAACGCCGCGUGAGUGAAGAAGGUUUUCGGAUCGUAAAACUCUGUUGUUAGAGAAGAACGUUGAUUAGAGUGGAAAAUUAAUCAAGUGACGGUAUCUAACCAGAAAGGGACGGCUAACUACGUGCCAGCAGCCGCGGUAAUACGUAGGUCCCAAGCGUUGUCCGGAUUUAUUUGGCGUAAAGCGAGCGCAGGUGGUUUAAUAAGUCUGAUGUAAAGGGCAGUGGCUCAACCAUUGUGU